AUUGAACGCUGGCGGCAGGCUUAACACAUGCAAGUCGAGCGGGGAAGGGUAGCUUGCUACCUAACCUAGCGGCGGACGGGUGAGUAAUGCUUAGGAAUCUGCCAUUUAGUGGGGGACAACAUUCCGAAAGGAAUGCUAAUACCGCAUACGUCCUACGGGAGAAAGCAGGGGAUCUUCAGACCUUGCGCUAAAUGAUGAGCCUAAGGCGGAUUAGCUAGUUGGUGGGGUAAAGGCCUACCAAGGCGACGAUCUGUAGCGGGUCUGAGAGAAUGGUCAGCCACACUGGGAAUGGAACAAGGACCAGACUUCUACGGGAGGCAGCAGGUGGGAAUAUUGGACAAUGGGCGGAAGCCUGAUCCAGCCAUGCCGCGUGUGUGAAGAAGGCCUUAUGGUUGUACAGCACCUUAAGCGAGGAGGAGGCUACUAGUAUUAAUACUACUGGAUAGUGGACGUUACUCGCAGAAUAAGCACCGGCUAACUCUGUGCCAGCCGCCGCGGUAAGAC
rnacentral:rRNA from 1 species